CGCGUAGGCGGUUCGGUAAGUUGCUGGUGAAAUCCCGGGGCUCAACUCCGGGGCUGCCGGCAAGACUGUCGGACUUGAGCACGGUAGGGGCAGAUGGAAUUCCCGGUGUAGCGGUGGAAUGCGUAGAGAUCGGGAAGAACACCAGUGGCGAAGGCGUUCUGCUGGGCCGUUGCUGACGCUGAGGCGCGACAGCGUGGGGAGCAAACA
rnacentral:rRNA from 1 species